GACGAACGCUGGCGGCGUGCUUAACACAUGCAAGUCGAACGGGAUUUAGUAGACAGAAGCCUCGGCUAAAGAUUACUAAUGAGAGUGGCGAACGGGUGAGUAACGCGUGAGCAACCUGCCUAUGACAGUGGGAUAGCCCCGGGAAACCGGGAUUAAUACCGCAUAAAAUCGUAGAAACACAUGUUUCAACGGUCAAAGAUUUAUCGGUCAUAGAUGGGCUCGCGUCUGAUUAGCUAGUUGGUGAGAUAACAGCCCACCAAGGCGACGAUCAGUAGCCGGUCUGAGAGGAUGAACGGCCACAGUGGAACUGAGACACGGUCCAAACUCCUACGGGAGGCAGCAGUGGGGAAUAUUGCACAAUGGGGGAAACCCUGAUGCAGCGACGCCGCGUGAACGAAGAAGGUAUUCGUAUCGUAAAGUUCUGUCCUAUGGGAAGAUAAUGACAGUACCAUAGAAGAAAGCUCCGGCUAAAUACGUG
rnacentral:rRNA from 1 species